UACGGGGGGUGCGAGCGUUGUCCGGAAUCACUGGGCGUAAAGGGCGCGUAGGUGGUUUGAUAAGGGUGUGGUGAAAGUCCGGAGCUCAACUCCGGAUCUGCCGUGCCGACUGUCAAACUCGAGGGCUGUAGAGGCAGACGGAAUUCCGGGUGUAGCGGUGGAAUGCGUAGAUAUCGUAAGGAAGACCAGUGGCGAAGGCGGGUCUCUGGACAGUUCCUGACGCUGAGGCACGAAGGCCAGGGAGCAAACGGG
rnacentral:rRNA from 1 species